ACAGGGAUUGCCUUAGUAACGGCGAGUGAAGCGGCAACAGCUCAAAUUUGAAAUCUGGCCCUCGGGUCCGAAUUGUAAUUUGUAGAGGAUGAUUUUGGUGCGGUAUCUUCCGAGUUCCUUGGAACAGGACGCCUUAGAGGGUGAGAGCCCCGUACGGUUGAAUGCCUAGCCUCUGUAAAUCUCCUUCGACGAGUCGAGUAGUUUGGGAAUGCUGCUCUAAAUGGGAGGUAAAUUUCUUCUAAAGCUAAAUAUUGGCCAGAGACCGAUAGCGCACAAGUAGAGUGAUCGAAAGAUGAAAAGCACUUUGAAAAGAGGGUUAAAUAGCACGUGAAAUUGUUGAAAGGGAAGGAUUUGUGACCAGACUUUUUCUGGGCGGAUCAUCCGGGGUUCUCUCCGGUGCACUUUGCCCAGUAAAGGCCAGCAUCGAUUUUCGGCGGCGGAUAAAAGCAGUGGGAAUGUGGCUCCCCACGGGGAGUGUUAUAGCCCAUUGUAUAAUACGCUGCUGGGGAUCGAGGUACGCGCUUCUGCAAGGAUGCUGGCGUAAUGGUUAUCAAUCACCCGUCUUGAAACACGGACCAAGGAGUCGAACAUUUAUGCGAGUGUUUGGGUGUUAAACCCUCACGCGUAAUGAAAGUGAACGGAGGUGAGAGCCCGUACGGGUGCAUCAUCGACCGAUCCUGAAGUUUUCGGAUGGAUUUGAGUAAGAGCAUAACUGUUCGGACCCGAAAGAUGGUGAACUAUGCGUGGAUAGGGUGAAGCCAGAGGAAACUCUGGUGGAGGCUCGCAGCGGUUCUGACGUGCAAAUCGAUCGUCAAAUCUGCGCAUGGGGGCGAAAGACUAAUCGAACCAUCUAGUAGCUGGUUACCGCCGA
rnacentral:rRNA from 1 species